rnacentral:rRNA from 1 species
CUUGUCUUUUAAUUGAGGACUAGAAUGAAAGGUUUGACUAUGUAAUUUUGUCUUAUAAUAAUAUUUUGAAAUUAAUUUUUUAGUUAAAAAGCUAAAAUUAAUUUUAAAGACAAGAAGACCCUAUUAAGCUUUACAAUUUUAUAUUAUUUUCAAACUAAUAAAAUAAUUGUUCUGCUGGGGCAGCAAAUAAAUAAAUAUUAUUUAUAUAUUGUGAUAAAUAAAUCUAGAAAAAUCAAUAAUUUAUUAAAUAAUAACAAGUUACUAUAGGGAUAACAGCAUAAUUUUUUUAAAGAGUUCUCAUCAACAAAAAAGUUUGUGACCUCGAUGUUGGAUUAAGAAUCCUAUUUUGCGCAAUAGUAAAAAAAGGAAGUCUGUUCGACUUUUAAAUUCUUCCA